AGUGAACGCUGGCGGUAGGCCUAACACAUGCAAGUCGAACGGCAGCACAGUAAGAGCUUGCUCUUACGGGUGGCGAGUGGCGGACGGGUGAGGAAUACAUCGGAAUCUACUUUUUCGUGGGGGAUAACGUAGGGAAACUUACGCUAAUACCGCAUACGACCUACGGGUGAAAGCAGGGCAUCUUCGGACCUUGCGCGAUUGAAUGAGCCGAUGUCGGAUUAGCUAGUUGGCGGGGUAAAGGCCCACCAAGGCGACGAUCCGUAGCUGGUCUGAGAGGAUGAUCAGCCACACUGGAACUGAGACACGGUCCAGACUCCUACGGGAGGCAGCAGUGGGGAAUAUUGGACAAUGGGCGCAAGCCUGAUCCAGCCAUGCCGCGUGGGUGAAGAAGGCCUUCGGGUUGUAAAGCCCUUUUGUUGGGAAAGAAAAGCAGCAGGUUAAUACCCCGCUGUUCUGACGGUACCCAAAGAAUAAGCACCGGCUAACUUCGUG
rnacentral:rRNA from 1 species